rnacentral:rRNA from 1 species
AACAAGGUCUCCGUAGGUGAACCUGCGGAGGGAUCAUUACAAGUGACCCCGGUCUAACCACCGGGAUGUUCAUAACCCUUUGUUGUCCGACUCUGUUGCCUCCGGGGCGACCCUGCCUUCGGGCGGGGGCUCCGGGUGGACACUUCAAACUCUUGCGUAACUUUGCAGUCUGAGUAAACUUAAUUAAUAAAUUAAAACUUUUAACAACGGAUCUCUUGGUUCUGGCAUCGAUGAAGAACGCAGCGAAAUGCGAUAAGUAAUGUGAAUUGCAGAAUUCAGUGAAUCAUCGAAUCUUUGAACGCACAUUGCGCCCCCUGGUAUUCCGGGGGGCAUGCCUGUUCGAGCGUCAUUUCACCACUCAAGCCUCGCUUGGUAUUGGGCAACGCGGUCCGCCGCGUGCCUCAAAUCGACCGGCUGGGUCUUCUGUCCCCUAAGCGUUGUGGAAACUAUUCGCUAAAGGGUGUUCGGGAGGCUACGCCGUAAAACAACCCC